rfam:Streptococcus dysgalactiae subsp. dysgalactiae ATCC 27957 chromosome, whole genome shotgun sequence.
UUGAGCCGUAUGAGGGGAAACUCUCACGUACGGUUCUUAGAGAGGAAGGUGGUAGUAAUACCACUAACCUACUCAAC